CCUACGGGAGGCAGCAGUGGGGAAUAUUGGACAAUGGGCGAAAGCCUGAUCCAGCAAUGCCGCGUGAGUGAUGAAGGCCUUAGGGUUGUAAAGCUCUUUUACCAGGGAUGAUAAUGACAGUACCUGGAGAAUAAGCUCCGGCUAACUCCGUGCCAGCAGCCGCGGUAAUACGGAGGGAGCUAGCGUUGUUCGGAAUUACUGGGCGUAAAGAGUACGUAGGCGGUUAUUCAAGUCAGAGGUGAAAGCCCGGGGCUCAACCCCGGAACGGCCUUUGAAACUAGGUAGCUAGAAUCUUGGAGAGGUCAGUGGAAUUCCGAGUGUAGAGGUGAAAUUCGUAGAUAUUCGGAAGAACACCAGUGGCGAAGGCGACUGACUGGACAAGUAUUGACGCUGAGGUACGAAAGCGUGGGGAGCAAACAGGAUUAGAUACCCUGGUAGUCCACGCCGUAAACGAUGAUAACUAGUUGUUCGGGCACUUGGUGCCUGAGUGACGCAGCUAACGCAUUAAGUUAUCCGCCUGGGGAUACGGUCGCAAGAUUAAAACUCAAAGGAAUUGACGGCUGAGAGNGCGAGACGACACGAGGAGAGG
rnacentral:rRNA from 1 species